rnacentral:rRNA from 1 species
UCUUAUGAAGUUAGCGGCGGACGGGUGAGUAACACGUGGGUAACCUGCCCAUAAGACUGGGAUAACUCCGGGAAACCGGGGCUAAUACCGGAUAACAUUUUGAACCGCAUGGUUCGAAAUUGAAAGGCGGCUUCGGCUGUCACUUAUGGAUGGACCCGCGUCGCAUUAGCUAGUUGGUGAGGUAACGGCUCACCAAGGCAACGAUGCGUAGCCGACCUGAGAGGGUGAUCGGCCACACUGGGACUGAGACACGGCCCAGACUCCUACGGGAGGCAGCAGUAGGGAAUCUUCCGCAAUGGACGAAAGUCUGACGGAGCAACGCCGCGUGAGUGAUGAAGGCUUUCGGGUCGUAAAACUCUGUUGUUAGGGAAGAACAAGUGCUAGUUGAAUAAGCUGGCACCUUGACGG